rnacentral:rRNA from 1 species
GUGAAGUCGGGAAAAGAGGCGGUGGGAAUACGUAGGGGGCAGGCGUGAAGCGGUAUUGUUGGGCGUAAAGCGGACGCAGGCUGGUUCAUAAGGCAGUUGUGAAAUCUGGUGGCUGAACCGUGGAACGGCGUUUGAAACUGGUGGGCUAGAGUGCGGCAGAAGGGGUGGGAAUUCGACGUGUAGCAGUGAAAUGCUUAGAUAUGUGGAGGAACACCGAUGGCGAAGGCAGCUGACUGGGCCAGCACUGACGCUCAUGCACGAAAGCGUGGGGAGCAAACAGGAUUAGAUACCCGGGUAGUC